GUGAUGAAUUCUGCCAUGUGGCACCAGACUGCCACCCAGACCACAGUGUCCUCUGCAACCCUGGUAACUCACAUACAGGCCCGAUUCCACCGACAGCAAAGCUGGAUGCUAUGGCUGGCAGAGGCAAACCCUUUGCCUGCACUUCAGGCCAAAGCCGGGAUGUGGCCUAGAUGGUUCCUAAGCUUCUCAGAUGACCAAGAUGGUGCUGCAGAUGGUGCUGAGGAUGGAGAACCCACCAAGCCCCGCUAGGAGCCACCUAGACUGGAUGCAGAGCAUGGACAAUUUGCUGAGGUCUGGGAGCACCCCCUCCAGAGAGUCCCUGAUCUCUCAAAACUUGGUCGUGAUCUAAAGUUUAUUUGAUGUACAACUCCCCCUCCCCUUCUUUUGGAGUUUUAUUUGCUUCCAAGAAGGAAGGCAAGAUUUCCUGGGUCCGUGAUGAUGGAAGGCUGACAACUCUUUUAUGGAGUUUGAGCUUGCUCCCAGCAGGGAAGACAAGUUCGAGUUUUUUUCCUGCUUCAAGGAUGGUAGAGAGCAGUCUUCAGCCUGAGACCCAUCCCUAG
rnacentral:misc_RNA from 1 species